rnacentral:rRNA from 1 species
UCCUAAGGCGAGGCUGAAAAGCGUAGUCGAUGGGAAACAGGUUAAUAUUCCUGUACUUCUGGUUACUGCGAUGGAGGGACUGAGAAGGCUAGGCCAGCUUGGCGUUGGUUGUCCAAGUUUAAGGUGGUAGGCUGAAAUCUUAGGUAAAUCCGGGGUUUCAAGGCCGAGAGCUGAUGACGAGUCGUCUUUUAGAUGACGAAGUGGUUGAUGCCAUGCUUCCAAUAAAAGCUUCUAAGCUUCAGGUAACCAGGAACCGUACCCCAAACCGACACAGGUGGUCGGGUAGAGAAUACCAAGGCGCUUGAGAGAACUCGGGUGA